rnacentral:rRNA from 1 species
CUGCUGCCUCCCGUAGGAGUUUGGUCCGUGUCUCAGUACCAAUGUGGGGGGUUAACCUCUCAGUCCCCCUAUGUAUCGUUGUCUUGGUGAGCCGUUACCCCACCAACUAACUAAUACAACGCAUGCCCAUCCAUUACCACCGGAGUUUUCAACCCAAGAAGAUGCCUCCCUGGAUGUUAUGGGGUAUUAGUACCGAUUUCUCAGUGUUAUCCCCCUGUAAUGGGUAGGUUGCAUACGCGUUACGCACCCGUGCGCCGGUCGCCGACAGGCA